AACGAAUUAGGAUUUUGGAAUCACGUUCUAUUGGAACUAGAAAGCAAAUCCUAAAUUCUUAAUUCUACUCCUAGCCCACUUGAAAAGCCCAACCAUUAAAACCCAAAAGAACUCAAACCCUCACCCAAAACAAAUUCACGUAAAAAGAAAAAUCAAGCCUCCUCUCCCUCCUUCAACUCCACGUACAGCAUCCUCCCUGCAGUUUUCUCUCCUCCCUUCGUCCGCCGCUUCUGCCCAGCCACCGGACAACCAUCACCGCCGCACCACCAGUGCACGCAACAACCAGCCCUGUCGCCUGUUCCUAGCCGCCACCUACUCGCGCCGCCGGUCUAUCGCAUUAUAUUUCCCGCCAUCGCACGACCCAGCCGCGUCGACGACAACCAUCAACCCAGCCGCUGCCGCGCCGCCGUCCCCGGACCGCCGGCCGCCCACUCUUCCUCUUCUUUUGGCGGAGAAUUCUCUUUAGGCGACUUUUGAAAGUGUUAAGGUGGCCUAUCAGUUUGUUUACACAAGUCUCUAAGGAUCAAUAAGCGUUGCCCAUCUACAGGUUUGAAGAUGAUGCAUCAUUGGGAUCGGGAUUAGAGAGCUUGUAGUUCUAUUUGUUUAGUUAAGUGAUUCAAUUUGUUAACUUGGAUUUGAAACUUGUCGUACUAUUCGUAUUUCCUUAUUUUCGUUUAUUGGUUUUUGGGAUUAAACCUGUAAUCAAUUACUUAUAAACCUCAAAUUAGUUUUAUGUUUUCCGCUGCAAAAUUCUGAAUAAGCCGUUACGUUUUCACACGGGCGAUAAUGCCUUGAUAAUUCUCUAUAUUUUAUAUUAAAAGGUUAUUUUAGAAAAGAGAGAAUUGUCGGGGUGUUACAAAGUGGUAUUUUUGAGCUAAAGGUUUCACUGACAUUUCGUGUCUACCUUUUAUAUCUUAGGCGCCUAACCAACUAAUUAGUUAUGUAAAAGUAAUUUCACAUUAGUGAAUAAAUUUAAAGUUAUUAGCUAGAAAUGUUUGAAUUUAUUUUAAUAUUGACUCUUGAAUCGUGCUUUGAAAUACGUUUUUAUGCGAAUAAAUGUAUUUCGAUUCUUUUGAAAUUUAAAUUAAUAUUUCAAAAAAAA